rnacentral:rRNA from 1 species
GCAUYGAUGAAGAACGCAGCGAAAUGCGAUACUUGGUGUGAAUUGCAGAAUCCCGUGAACCAUCGAGUCUUUGAACGCAAGUUGCGCCCGAAGCCUUCGGGCCGAGGGCACGUCUGCCUGGGCGUCACGC